rnacentral:tRNA from 1 species
CUUAAAAUGGCAGAUUUAUGCUGGAAAUUUAAGAUUUUCAUAUGGCUUUAGCCUUUUAAGA